rnacentral:tRNA from 1 species
GCCCCCGUGGCCUAAUGGCCAAGGCGCAAGAGUGAGCCAAAAGAAACCCUCCAAGUUUCACAAUCAGCGACACUAACAACCACCUUAGCUUCUAUUAGUAAAUCUUGAGAUUGCGGGUUCGAUCCCCGCCGGGGGUU